rnacentral:lncRNA from 1 species
GUCAAGUCUAUUUCUGCAUCUAUUUCGUGCAGAAAUGACUCCGACUCAGUCCGACACUCUCCAGACGUGUCGACCAGUCACUAAUACUGUAGCUAAUCCUGUCCAAACCUCAGGAACACUACAUUAAAUGAGCUUGGCUUGAAUAGAGGAAAAAACUCGAGAUAUAUUUCAAGCUGAGCUUGAGUAUUUGGGCUGGAAUACUAUUAAUAGUUUUUAGACUUUUUUGCUAUUUAGUUUUCAACCCUUCAAUAAAAUUUUGUAGGGUUAAGAUAAUAGCGAUCCUAUAGGGUUGAGUGGGUAGAUAGUUGAAUAGUAUGAUCUAAAUGAUGUAAUUGAUUGAAAUGUAAAUCUAACGGCUAAAAAAUUAAAAGCAAAAAAUCCCAAAUAUUAUUAAUAGUAUUCCAACUCUCUCUCUCUAUAUUAAAAAUAUUCAUAAAUUUUAUAUAAUAUAUAUUU